rnacentral:lncRNA from 15 species
AGGAUAAAACCCAAAUGGAUCUGCAGAUCUCCUCUGCUGCAGUGACAGACUCUGCUCUGUACUACUGUGCUGUGAGGCCCACAGUGACAGCAAACCCACAGUCUCUGUACAAAAACACAAGCUGACACACUGACAAGCUGCUGGAAGCCUUUUUUCCACACUGUUGGACUCAACUUUUUAGCUCCACUAGAGGGCGACAUUAUCAAGUAGGCGGUGCACUACUUCUGCACUGUGUUCAACCAUUCUGUCAAUAAUAACUGCUGCUGUGAAGAGAACAAUUGUCACACUGAAUGUUGAACAUCAGCUAGUUUCUCCUGUUGAUUUAAACCUUGUUGUAGAGAUGGAACAUUGGCUGUGGAUUAUUCUUGCUGCUCUUUUCUUUGGACUAAUAGCUGGAGACACAAUCUCUCCUGUAGGAGAUAAAGUCAGUGGAAGAGAAGGAGAAUCUGUCACACUCAAAUGUCAAUAUCAGACAACUUCAGAUUAUUUGUCCUUCACUGGUACAGACAUUCUGACCUUCAGGCUCCUCAGUUUAUACUCUAUAAAGGAGCAAAGGCUAUGAAUAUAUUCCAGAUAAACGAUAUGAAUCUAAAACAACAGAUUCAUCAACUGAACUGACCAUCAGAAAACUAACCCUAGCAGACACAGCUCUCUACUACUGUGCUCUAGAAACACAGUGAUACAAAGUGUAGAGAGGCUGUACAAAAACCUGAACACAGAUAUCUGACUACUCUUCAAAGAGGAGGGAAGUGGUAUUCAAACCACAGCUUCAUAUCAGAUGGAUUCUGCUAAUUCCUGUUUUAUCAGAGUCACUGUGGUUACAGCUGCUAAUGAAACACUGUGGGAGGAUUCACAUGAGCAGCAAAUCCACAUCAAUGACAAACCAACUGGAUGAUGCUUCAAACACAAGACACCAUGGAAACAAAUAAAUCAACACUGAAAAUUAAAAUGAGUAAUAUGUGACAUCUGAACAACAACGUGUCUAACAUUAAAACUUUUAGUUAAAUAAAUAGAUUUGUGACCUGAAUUAUGUAUCUAAAGUGCAUUUAUCACACAUUGUUUUAUUCCUAUAAAAUUUCUAUUUGUUCCCAACAUUUACCAGGUCAGACUGGGUCCAGUAUUUUAUAGCUCAAAUAUUCAGUCAUAUACUGAGCAUACUGAUCUGUUACCAGCUGGACUGGGUACAGUCUGUAUUUUCCUGGGCAGAAGUCCACCUUUACAGUUUCUGGUCUUUAACAUUUUUAUUCAGUUUUGAGUGAACUGCAGUAAAUGAUGGACUGUUAAUUGGCAAUCAUAUAAGACAGGGCUGUGAAUGAGGCCUGUCAGUAUGAUCAUUUCAAUUUCAAUUCAGUUUUAUAUUAAGUUAGUAAGUGUGUAAUUAUAUUUGCUGUUAUAUUUAACUCCACUACUGAUAAAUCAUACAGUUUGAAUCAAGGAUCUCCAUAAACUGGUUGACAACCCAGACUCAGGUUUUGAUUGCUCCUGUCUUUAUAUUUACUAAAGAAGUUUCUGUUAUUGUGGUGUACCACAGGGUUUGAUCCUGGGUCCUGUUCAUUUCUAUUUUGGUAAAUGCAUUUUAAACACAAUAUAGAUUUCCAUUGUUUUGCUGACAAUGAUGUAUUCCAUAAGUUUACAUGAUUAUUAUUCUAUUAAAAUUGUUUAUCAUUGAUUACACCUUUUGUAGUUUCUCUACAAUGAGUUUGCACAUCAC